rnacentral:rRNA from 1 species
ACGGAAGGCAGCAGUGGGGAAUAUUGCACAAUGGGGGAAACCCUGAUGCAGCGACGCCGCGUGAGUGAAGAAGUAUUUCGGUAUGUAAAGCUCUAUCAGCAGGGAAGAAAAUGACGGCACCUGACUAAGAAGCCCCGGCUAACUACGUGCCAGCAGCCGCGGUAAUACGUAGGGGGCAAGCGUUAUCCGGAUUUACUGGGUGUAAAGGGUGCGUAGGCGGCACGGCAAGUCAGAAGUGAAAUCCCAGGGCUCAACCCUGGAACUGCUUUUGAAACUGCCGGGCUAGAGUACAGGAGAGGCGAGUGGAAUUCCUAGUGUAGCGGUGAAAUGCGUAGAUAUUAGGAGGAACACCAGUGGCGAAGGCGGCUUGCUGGACUGUAACUGACGUUGAGGCUCGAAAGCGUGGGGAGCAAACAGGAUUAGAUACCCUGGUA